GUGGUUGUAGCUCAGUGGUAGAAUGCUUGCCAAGCAUGUAUGAAGUUCUGGGUUUGAUCCUCAGAAGCCACA
rnacentral:tRNA from 1 species